UGACUUCCUGAGGUCCCUUCCAACCCUAAUUUUCUACGAUUCUAUGUUUUUAACCCAGUGUAACCCUUGGAGCCCAGCAUGAAGUUCAAAACCAUACCUGCACCAAGAGACUGAGCAAACCAUUAUGGAAUCAGUAACAGUAAAUCAAGCGGCUCUCUUCACCAGAAAGCUGCUUUUCAGCCCAGGGCAGAUACUUUAAUGUGAAUGCUCAAACAACACGUGAAUCUUUAGGUUAAAAUCUUCUCAACCAAAUGAAUUCAAACAAACAGAAGAUUCACCAUCCUUCACGCUACAAAGUGGACAAGCAUGCACACAAUCCCAUCUAACCCUUGCAUGGGCCUGUAAUGGACAAAAGUUAAAAAAACACAACCACCGCCACUAGGAAUCAUUUUGCAUUUGUAUGUUUAAACCUGAUCCUCAAUGCUUCAUCGUUUUGCUAUGUCUUUAAUUAGAUUAUGCACUCUUUGGAAGGUGUGUAGGAAUGCAGAGCGCUCUCCAGUUUUCAGCUCGGAUGAUGAGAUUAUGAAACAUCACCUGAAACAUUAUGAAAUUCAAGGAAGCACCUCACGAUCUGUCUCCCUUGCUGUCUUCACCCUGGUCUCUCUGUCUGCUAGUCUUGCCAGGUCCCGUGUUCAUGACAUGACUGUCCUGGACCUUCUCACCACCGAGGCACCCCAAGCGCACAGACAAGCUCUGUGCCAGUCAGCAGAGCAGAGACAUGAAGAAAAGUCACUCCAGGAAUGCCAAGAAAUAAUACAAAAGAGGCCUCAAGAGGGUAGAGAGAAAUGGGCUGAAAACAAUGUAGUGAGAUUUGGCUCAGAUGGAAGUGAAUAA
rnacentral:lncRNA from 1 species